rnacentral:rRNA from 1 species
GAUUCUGGCUUAGGAUGAACGCUGGCGGCGUGCUUAACACAUGCAAGUCGAACGGAGUUUUAACGGAAGUUUCGGAUGGAAGUUAAGAACUUAGUGGCGGACGGGUGAGUAACGCGUGGGUAACCUGCCUCAUACAGGGGGAUAACAGUUAGAAAUGACUGCUAACACCGCAUAAUAUAGUGAAACCGCAUGAUUUUGCUAUCAAAUAUUUAUAGGUAUGAGAUGGGCCCGCGUCUGAUUAGCUAGUUGGUGGGGUAAAAGCCUACCAAGGCGACGAUCAGUAGCCGGCUUGAGAGAGUGACCGGCCACAUUGGGACUGAGACACGGCCCAAACUCCUACGGGAGGCAGCAGUGGGGAAUAUUGGACAAUGGGGGAAACCCUGAUCCAGCGAACCGCCGCGUGAGUGAAGAAGUAUUUCGGUAUGUAAAGCUCUAUCAGCAGGGAAGAUAAUGACAGUACCUGACUAAGAAGCCCCGGCUAACUACGUGCCAGCCGCUGC